rnacentral:rRNA from 1 species
GACGAACGCUGGCGGCGUGCUUAACACAUGCAAGUCGAACGGAAAGGCCCUGCUUUUGUGGGGUGCUCGAGUGGCGAACGGGUGAGUAACACGUGAGUAACCUGCCCUUGACUUUGGGAUAACUUCAGGAAACUGGGGCUAAUACCGGAUAGGAGCUCCUGCUGCAUGGUGGGGGUUGGAAAGUUUCGGCGGUUGGGGAUGGACUCGCGGCUUAUCAGCUUGUUGGUGGGGUAGUGGCUUACCAAGGCUUUGACGGGUAGCCGGCCUGAGAGGGUGACCGGCCACAUUGGGACUGAGAUACGGCCCAGACUCCUACGGGAGGCAGCAGUGGGGAAUAUUGCACAAUGGGCGGAAGCCUGAUGCAGCAACGCCGCGUGCGGGAUGACGGCCUUCGGGUUGUAAACCGCUUUCGCCUGUGACGAAGCGUGAGUGACGGUAAUGGGUAAAGAAGCACCGGCUAACUACGUGCCAGCAGCCGCGGUGAUACGUAGGGUGCGAGCGUUGUCCGGAUUUAUUGGGCGUAAAGGGCUCGUAGGUGGUUGAUCGCGUCGGAAGUGUAAUCUUGGGGCUUAACCCUGAGCGUGCUUUCGAUACGGGUUGACUUGAGGAAGGUAGGGGAGAAUGGAAUUCCUGGUGGAGCGGUGGAAUGCGCAGAUAUCAGGAGGAACACCAGUGGCGAAGGCGGUUCUCUGGGCCUUUCCUGACGCUGAGGAGCGAAAGCGUGGGGAGCGAACAGGCUUAGAUACCCUGGUAGUCCACGCUGUAAACGGUGGGUACUAGGUGUGGGGUCCAUUCCACGGGUUCUGUGCCGUAGCUAACGCUUUAAGUACCCCGCCUGGGGAGUACGGCCGCAGGGCUAAAACUCAAAGGAAUUGACGGGGCCCCGCACAAGCGGCGGAGCAUGCGGAUUAAUUCGAUGCAACGCGUAGAACCUUACCUGGGUUUGACAUGGAUCGGGAGCGCUCAGAGAUGGGUGUGCCUCUUUUGGGGUCGGUUCACAGGUGGUGCAUGGCUGUCGUCAGCUCGUGUCGUGAGAUGUUGGGUUAAGUCCCGCAACGAGCGCAACCCUUGUUCACUGUUGCCAGCACGUUAUGGUGGGGACUCAGUGGAGACCGCCGGGGUCAACUCGGAGGAAGGUGGGGAUGACGUCAAGUCAUCAUGCCCCUUAUGUCCAGGGCUUCACGCAUGCUACAAUGGCUGGUACAGAGAGUGGCGAGCCUGUGAGGGUGAGCGAAUCUCGGAAAGCCGGUCUCAGUUCGGAUUGGGGUCUGCAACUCGACCUCAUGAAGUCGGAGUCGCUAGUAAUCGCAGAUCAGCAACGCUGCGGUGAAUACGUUCCCGGG